AUUGAACGCUGGCGGCAUGCUUUACACAUGCAAGUCGAACGGUAACAGGUUAAGCUGACGAGUGGCGAACGGGUGAGUAAUGCAUCGGAACGUGCCCGAUCGCGGGGGAUAACGCAGCGAAAGCUGCGCUAAUACCGCAUACGAUCUGAGGAUGAAAGCGGGGGACCGUAAGGCCUCGCGCGAUCGGAGCGGCCGAUGUCAGAUUAGGUAGUUGGUGGGGUAAAGGCUCACCAAGCCGUAGAUCUGGAGCAGGUCUGAGAGGACGACCAGCCAAACUGGGACUGCGACACGGCCCAGACUCCUACGGGAGGCAGCAGUGGGGAAUUUUGGACAAUGGGCGAAAGCCUGAUCCAGCAAUGCCGCGUGCAGGAAGAAGGCCUUCGGGUUGUAAACUGCUUUUGUACGGAGCGAAAAGGCUCUCUCUAAUACAGGGGGCUCAUGACGGUACCGUAAGAAUAAGCACCGGCUAACUACGUGCCAGCCGCCGCAGUAA
rnacentral:rRNA from 1 species